rnacentral:lncRNA from 1 species
CUGAGAAGGGAGGGACACAGCCGUGCUUCCAGCAUUCCUCUUCCAUGAUUUAAAGUGGAAAGUCGCAUCAGACGCCCCAAGUCUCUGCCCUUGACUUGAAAGAAAGAGACCAGUGCCACUAGGAGGGCCAGGUGGCCAAAGCCACCUGCCUCUGAAGCUUUUCAAGGGAAGUUGUUCCUCCAGUUCUGCCAAGGACGACGUGUCUCUAAACAUCAGUCAGUUAAUAUUUUGCGAGUCACAAAUUCUGCAACGAAGUGACAUAAAGGGAUAGCUUUUCUCUCCCACAGCAGUGACCGGUCAGAGACCACUGGAGCAGAGUAAUGAGAAUGGCUGAAGGAGACACCUGGGGAUGCUUGAAGCUGCCCCCCGGAGCACGGUCCAGACACCUCCACGCAGAGGCUCGUAGAUAACAAAAGCUACAAGGACGACCUUCGCCUGAUAAAAGGCCACCACGGCCAGCCUGCAGCAAGCCUCAAGCUUCCCGCGAAACUCCAGAUGCAGUCCCAUUAAAGUGGAAAACAGGGAGUUGACUCUCUCAUAGCCAUCACUCAGCAUGGUCUGAUGAUCUAGCCAAUGUUACAGGCCAAGAUGGAAAAAGAGGAGUGAGGAUUGGAAAGGAGGAGACAUACAUUUUCAUAUUUUUGGGGUAGACAAUAUAACUUUCUGCAUAAAAUUUUCUAAGAAUUUACAAUGAGAGCUAAUGAGGUUUAAUAUAAGAAGAUAUAAAAGUCCACAGCAUGGCUAUGCAAUAGCCAACACUAAUUGGAGACUGUAAUAGAAAAAACACACCAUUCGCAAUAGCAAUAAAACACUGAGGUAUUUAGAAAUAAGUAUAAUAAAGAUGUGGGACAUCUUAAAUGAGAAACUAAUACAAUUUUAUUAAGGGCUAUAGACAAAGAUUUAACUAAUUGGAAGGCUACAUCAUGAAUGCAAAAACUCAGUUUCAAAUGUUCUGUUUUCCUGUAAAAUAAUCAAUAAAUUAAAUGCAAUUUCAUUCAAAUCCUAGCAGCAUUUUCUCCUGGCACCUGAUAAGGUGGAUUAUUCCUUCACAUGGAAUAGCAAAGGACCAAAGAUGGUGAAGACAGGUUUGAAGAAGAAGCAGAGGGUAGAGAUGUUUUCUCUAACAAAUAGCCAGCGAUUUCCUCUAGUUUUGAUAAAGACUAUUCAAGAAUAAACAGAUCAGCAGAACAGAACAGAAAGGCAAAAGCAGACCUGCACGGAGUGGAAACCUGCUGUGCACCACAGGGAUCCAUACGUCAACAGGAAUGGGGGUUUGUUGGUCAAAUGCCACUGAUAGAAAGGUAAAAUAUUCACAUUAUUAUCUAACACUGCACCGGUAAUAAAGCUCAGA